GACUCAUGGCAGACAUGAGGAUUUCCUUGUCUUCUAACAAGGAAGGGACCACUGCUCAGAUUUGCACACUGACGACAUGUGGGACAACGUGGGAGGAAGAAAGCCGUGUGAAGUUGGGUUUAAAUGUGUGUCAGGUCCCUGGAGGCAAAAGAUAGCAAAGCAAAUUCGUUAACUUAAGGAGAGUUUGAUUAAAGAUCUAAUUACAAACUACUUACCAUCUCGCUGCUGGGUUCUUCUCUCAACCCAGAAAGAACCACAAGCUUGUCCUAAGAGGAAAACCAUGGAUUUGGAAAGACAGCACUACCCAGUUUCAGAACAUUCCAGAAAUGACACAAGCAUCUUAUUUUUAAAUAUUGGGUGGGAUGAAGGAAGAGAAGGAAGAUUGGACCACCAGUCAUUUAGUACUACAGAAUCAAUUGCUGCAUCAUUGUGGCAGACACCCAACGAGUCAUCAAAUAGUCAGAGAACACAGUCACACAAAAGACCCUCUCCCCGAACCUGUUGGAUAUUGUCCCUCAGCCACCCCAGCAGGGCCCACGUGGAGAAGUGAUUGUCUCAAAAACACUGAGAGAUGUGAUUUUCACCAGCGUGAGUGGAUACUCAUGAAAUCCACUGAAGACACAUAGUUUUUAAGAAAUCCUCCUACUACACUGAAUGGGGAAAACUACAAAAUGAAAGAAUAUCAGAGCCCCAAAUUCCACUGGCAAGAAGCAGACUGAUAAAACCACCGAGCUGCAACCACGUGCCACUUUCCAUGAGGAAAGGAUGACUCAGAGGGCAGACGUGAGGAUCCGGAGUGGAGCCAAAGUUACAGAGGCCUGAGGACUACAUGAUGGAUUACAUUACUUUGACAUAUUGUUGUCUAACCUAUGGCAGAGUUGCAAAGCUGACAGGGGAAUGCUGGGGGCCUUUCCUGCUCAGACCCAUAAACCCCAGAGUGGAUCAUUCCCAGUCCUUGGAACCAUAGGACGCAGGCUCACCAAGCCUAACUGCAGCCUGUGGGGCCCCAAGCUGAGGCAGGACCCAGGGAUACUGAGAGUGGACAAGAACCAUGGGAAAAUUAAUCUGUGUUACUUUAACUGCUGUUCAUGG
rnacentral:lncRNA from 1 species